CGCCAGGAAUUUUCCUGGUAGGAUCUGCCCACUGAACUUUAAAUGGCCGCAGUACCCUGACUGUGCUAAGGUAGCAUAAUAAUUUGCCUUUUAAUUAAAGGCUAGCAUGAAUGAUUUGACGAAAGAAGAGCUGUCUCCGCUUAUUUUUAAUAAAUUAACCUAGAAGUUAAAAGGCUUCUAUUCUCUAGAGGGACGACAAGACCCUAUAAAGCUUUAUUUAUCAUAUUUCUAUUUAUUUCAAAAAAAAAAUAUAAAUUUAUAAAUUUUAUUGGGGCGAUAGAUAAAAAAACAUUAUUAACCAUAACGUUUUUAACGAAACUUAUAAAAUAUUCUUAAACUAAACAAGUUACUUUAGGGAUAACAGCAUAAUUUCUUUUUAGAGCCCUUAUCGACAAAGAAGAUUAUGACCUCGAUGUUGAAUUGAGCUACUCCUUUUAUGUAGACUUAAAAGGCAGGAGUCUGUUCGACCCUUAA
rnacentral:rRNA from 1 species